GGCCGGUGAUGUGAGGAUGAAAGAUAUUUGCUACUCUUGAUGGGUUUCUUGACCCAUCUGAUGACUCCAUAACCACCAAGAUCUCUGAGGCC